GAAAUGGAAAAAGCCUGGCAUGUCAACACAGUAAACAACAGUUGUCAGCACAAAACCGUUCCAUUCUAUGACAUUUUAAUACAGUGACGUCAUAAUGCAAACUCGUCGGAAAGGAAGGCGUUUAUAAUUCCGUGCGUGCAUGGCAGUGCAAGAAUACUCAAGUUUUUAAGAAUUAUAUCCUGAGGAAAACCGAAAUACCAUGGCAACGGAUAAAAACAUAUCCGAAUAUUUAUUUGCAUCUCCAGAUGAUUCGGAAUGUAUCGAUGAGUGUGAAUUUCAGAAGGGUGAACAUGAAGAUUUUGAUUUUAGAAAUACUUUAACAUAUUGGAAAGUGUUUGAACAGAAGAGGAAACAAGUUGCCAAGGAAGAAGAUAUCCGAGCUACAGGAGACUCACAACAGAUCCAUCAGCAGUCUAAUCAUCCCAUCGAUACUGUUCCGGAACUUGAAACCGAUACUGAACAGGAAUUGGAACAAUCGUUGGAAAAAUAUCAAUUUCGUAUAUUUGUAUGGUUACCAUUAACCGUUCUAGUUAUGGCGUAUGUCACAUUCAUAUUUUUCUCCGAUAAAAUAGUUCCUAAUCUGUACGAAAAGGAUUGCGAUUGUAUCGAUAUAUAUAAAUUCUUCCAUGGUACACGAAAACCAGAUUUUUAAAACGUUGUGGAAGAAGGAAAUGAAUGGAACUGAAAUGGAGAG